rnacentral:rRNA from 1 species
GAUGAACGCUGGCGGCGUGCCUAACACAUGCAAGUCGAACGGGACUUAUUGAGACGAUUUCGGUCUGAUCAUUAAGUUUAGUGGCGGACGGGUGAGUAACGCGUGGACAACCUGCCUUUCGCAGGGGGAUAGCAGCUGGAAACGGCUGGUAAUACCGCAUACGCGAGAGAUACCGCAUGACAUCACUCGGAAAGAUUUAUCGGUGAAAGAUGGAUCCGCGUCUGAUUAGCCAGUUGGCCGGGUAACGGCCCACCAAAGCGACGAUCAGUAGCCGGCCUGAGAGGGCGGACGGCCACAUUGGGACUGAGACACGGCCCAG